AGGACUACUACAGUCAGGGAGUUGUUGCCUAUUACGAGCUACAGUAAGCAAUCACAGUAGGAGAUACUGACAUCCAUAGACGCAGUAAAGAACGCCGCAGGUAUUCUUGUAGAAAUACUGGAUCUGGAGCAAGUCCCUUUGGCCGCUGAAGACAUCUCAAACUAAGCAGGGCGUCAGAGGCAGCCUGGUGCCCCUUCCCAGUCCUCUUCGCUCCAAGUUCUGUAGCAACCGCAUCAAGCUUUCCCGGAACUCUCUCCUUGUUGAUACACUUGCCGUACUGUGAGAACAACUUGCAGUCACAUGAUGAAGGGAAAUAUUCUACGACUUGCAACAGGAAGUGGAGUCGAGUUUCUAGCAAUGGAUCCUUCGUUAGGAGAUUUAUCAUGAGUCGAAAAUCUUGAUAACCCAUAAAGGUAACCCAGGUGACAUUCUUGUUCUGCAGGAGACCGGACUCACGUAACAAGUUUUUGAACUCCGAGGCUGGAAGUCCCUUUGUCGCAUGCUCCUCUAAUAUCAGUUCACUCUCCCUCAGGAAUUUCACUCCACAGUGGUCACCAGAUCACCUAGUGGGGCCGAACAAGAGAUUUAAUUGGAACAUUGCACCUCCGAGCAAAUUGAACUCCGUAUUGGCAAUUCCGAUCCCAGCCUGCACAAGGUCUCCACCAUGCACAUAGGAUCGCAGCUGCAAAUAGACUAUCCUCCAACAAUUUAUAGUUAUACCGUAUACAUCCAAACAUCUCCAUUGGUUAGAUUUACCUGCAAAUCCAUAUUUGGUCUAUCUGUAAGCAUGAUCUGUCUACGGAUCUAUUAGUAAUUUGACUGAAAGAGAUUUCUCUAAAAAAGGAGUUGUGCUGCUCCUGGAUUGAGUUACGUGCUUUUUAUUGGGAUUUCUGGUCGUGGUGGUUUCCUUUUGGGACAAAGCUAUUCACAUCCCAUCUGAAAUUGACAUACUCAGGUAUUAAAUGUCACUAGAUUCUGCUUCAUGCUUCCAUUUCUCCUUGGGACAAAAAAGGUACAUUGAUGCAGUUUGAUUAAGCAGAGUAAUCUGACUUCAAAAAUAUUUUUCCUCUAUCAUUGUCCGACGAGAAAUGUUUUUGUCGCUAUCAUUGUCCUCCAAGCAAAUUUGUGCUGAUACAUUAUCCCAGUGUCAACACCUGCCUAAGACAAAACUGCAGAAUGUUGGUCGAGAUUUGGGCAGAGCGGUCGAGUCACACUGAAAGAGUAUGUAGCUCAAAAGUAUAAUGAGCAUCAGUCACGUAACUUCACAGAGCCAUUGCCAAUUAGCAAGCAUCAUUUCACAUGCACAGGACUACUACAGUCAGGGAGUUGUUGCCUAUUACGAGCUACAGUAAGCAAUCACAGUAGGAGAUACUGACAUCCAUAGACGCAGUAAAGAACGCCGCAGGUAUUCUUGUAGAAAUACUGGAUCUGGAGCAAGUCCCUUUGGCCGCUGAAGACAUCUCAAACUAAGCAGGGCGUCAGAGGCAGCCUGGUGCCUCUUCCCAGUCCUCUUCGCUCCAAGUUCUGUAGCAACCACAUCAAGCUUUCCUGGAACUCUCAACUUGUUGAUACACUUGCCGUACUGUGAGAACAACUUGCAGUCACAUGAUGAAGGGAAAUAUUCUACGACUUGCAACAGGAAGUGGAGUCGAGUUUCUAGCAAUGGAUCCUUCGUUAGGAGAUUUAUCAUGAGUCGAAAAUCUUGAUAACCCAUAAAGGUAACCCAGGUGACAUUCUUGUUCUGCAGGAGACCGGACUCACGUAACAUGUUCUUGAACUCCGAGGCUGGAAGUCCCUUUGUCGCAUGCUCCUCUAAUAUCAGUUCACUCUCCCUCAGGAAUUUCACUCCACAGUGGUCACCAGAUCUCCUAGUGGGGCCGAACAAGAGAUUUAAUUGGAAAAUUGCACCUCGGAGCAAAUUGAACUCCGUAUCGGCAAUAGAUCCCAGCCUGCACAAGAUCUCCACCAUGCACAUAGGAUCGCAGCUGCAAAUAGACUAUCCUCAAACAAUUGAUAGUUAUACCGUAUACAUCCAAACAUCUCCAUUGGUUAGAUUUACCUGCAAAUCCAUAUUUGGUCUAUCUGUAAGCAUGAUCUGUCUACGGAUCUAUUAGUAAUUUGACUGAAAGAGAUUUCUCUAAAAAAGGAGUUGUGCUGCUCCUGGAAUGAGUUACGUGCUUUUUAUUGGGAUUGCUGGUCGUGGUGGUUUCCUUUUGGGACAAAGCCAUUCACAUUCCAUUUGAAAUUGACAUACUCAGGUAUUAAAUGUCACUAGAUUCUGCUUCAUGCUUCCAUUUCUCCUUGGGACACAAAAGGUACAUUGAUGCAGUUUGAUUAAGCAGAGUAAUCUGACUUCAACAAUAUUUUUCCUCUAUCAUUGUCCGACGAGAAAUGUUUUUGUCGCUAUCAUUGUCCUCCAAGCAAAUUUGUGCUGAUACAUUAUCCCAGUGUCAACACCUGCCUAAGACAAAACUGCAGAAUGUUGGUCGAGAUUUGGGCAGAGCGGUCGAGUCACACUGAAAGAGUAUGUAGCUCAAAAGUAUAAUGAGCAUCAGUCACGUAGCUUCACAGAGCCAUUGCCAAUUAGCAAGCAUCAUUUCACAUGCACAGGACUACUACAGUCAGGGAGUUGUUGCCUAUUACGAGCUACAGUAAGCAAUCACAGUAGGAGAUACUGACAUCCAUAGACGCAGUAAAGAACGCCGCAGGUAUUCUUGUAGAAAUACUGGAUCUGGAGCAAGUCCCUUUGGCCGCUGAAGACAUCUCAAACUAAGCAGGGCGUCAGAGGCAGCCUGGUGCCCCUUCCCAGUCCUCUUCGCUCCAAGUUCUGUAGCAACCGCAUCAAGCUUUCCCGGAACUAUCUCCUUGUUGAUACACUUGCCGUACUUUGAGAACGACUUGCAGUCAAAUGAUGAAGGGAAAUACUCUACGACUUGCUACAGGAACUGGAGUCGUGUUUCUGGCAAUGGAUCCUUCGUUAGGAGAUUUAUAAUGAGUCCAAAAUCUUGAUAACCCACAAAGGUAACCCAGGUGACAUUCUUGUUCUGCAGGAGACCGGACUCACGUAACAUGUUCUUGAACUCCGAGGCUGGAAGUCCCUUUGUCGCAUGCUCCUCUAAUAUCAGUGCACUCUCCCUCAGGAAUUUCACUCCACAGUGGUCACCAGAUCUCCUAGUGGGGCCGAACAAGAGAUUUAAUUGGAACAUUGCACCUCCGAGCAAAUUGAACUCCGUAUUGGCAAUUCCGAUCCCAGCCUGCACAAGGUCUCCACCAUGCACAUAGGAUCGCAGCUGCAAAUAGACUAUCCUCCAACAAUUUAUAGUUAUACCGUAUACAUCCAAACAUCUCCAUUGGUUAGAUUUACCUGCAAAUCCAUAUUUGGUCUAUCUGUAAGCAUGAUCUGUCUACGGAUCUAUUAGUAAUUUGACUGAAAGAGAUUUCUCUAAAAAAGGAGUUGUGCUGCUCCUGGAUUGAGUUACGUGCUUUUUAUUGGGAUUUCUGGUCGUGGUGGUUUCCUUUUGGGACAAAGCUAUUCACAUCCCAUCUGAAAUUGACAUACUCAGGUAUUAAAUGUCACUAGAUUCUGCUUCAUGCUUCCAUUUCUCCUUGGGACAAAAAAGGUACAUUGAUGCAGUUUGAUUAAGCAGAGUAAUCUGACUUCAAAAAUAUUUUUCCUCUAUCAUUGUCCGACGAGAAAUGUUUUUGUCGCUAUCAUUGUCCUCCAAGCAAAUUUGUACUGAUACAUUAUCCCAGUGUCAACACCUGCCUAAGACAAAACUGCAGAAUGUUGGUCGAGAUUUGGGCAGAGCGGUCGAGUCACACUGAAAGAGUAUGUAGCUCAAAAGUAUAAUGAGCAUCAGUCACGUAGCUUCACAGAGCCAUUGCCAAUUAGCAAGCAUCAUUUCCACUGCACAGCACUACUACAGUCAGGGAGUUGUUUCCGAUUACGAGCUACAGUAAGCCAUCACAGUAGGAGAUGCUGACAUCCAUAGACGCCGUAAAGAACGCCGCAGGUAUUCUUGUAGAAAUACUGGAUCUGGAGCAAGUCCCUUUGGCCGCUGAAGACAUCUCAAACUAAGCAGGGUGUCAGAGGCAGCCUGGUGCCCCUUCCCAGUCCUCUUCGCUCCAAGUUCUGUAGCAACCGCAUAAAGCUUUCCCGGAACUCUCUCCUUGUUGAUACACUUGCCGUCCUUUGAGAACGACUUGCAGUCAAAUGAUGAAGGGAAAUACUCUACGACUUGCAAUAGGAACUGGAGUCGUGUUUCUGGCAAUGGAUCCUUCGUUAGGAGAUUUAUCAUGAGUUCAAAAUCUUGAUAACCCACAAAGGUAACCCAGGUGAUAUUCUUGUUCUGCAGGAGACCGGACUCACGUAACAUGUUCUUAAACUCCGAGGCUGGAAGUCCCUUUGUCGCAUGCUCCUCUAAUAUCAGUUCACUCUCCCUCAGGAAUUUCACUCCACAGUGGUCACCAGAUCUCCUAGUGGGGNNNNNNNNNNNNNNNNNNNNNNNNNNNNNNNNNNNNNNNNNNNNNNNNNNNNNNNNNNNNNNNNNNNNNNNNNNNNNNNNNNNNNNNNNNNNNNNNNNNNUCCGAGCAAAUUGAACUCCGUAUCGGCAAUAGAUCCCAGCCUGCACAAGAUCUCCACCAUGCACAUAGGAUCGCAGCUGCAAAUAGACUAUCCUCCAACAAUUUAUAGUUAUACCGUAUACAUCCAAACAUCUCCAUUGGUUAGAUUUACCUGCAAAUCCAUAUUUGGUCUAUCUGUAAGUAUGAUCUGUCUACGGAUCUAUUAGUAAUUUGACUGAAAGAGAUUUCUCUAAAAAAAGAGUUGUGCUGCUCCUGGAAUGAGUUACGUGCUUUUUAUUGGGAUUGCUGGUCGUGGUGGUUUCCUUUUGGGACAAAGCUAUUCACAUCCCAUCUGAAAUUGACAUACUCAGGUAUUAAAUGUCACUAGAUUCUGCUUCAUGCUUCCAUUUUUCCUUGGGACAAAAAAGGUACAUUGAUGCAGUUUGAUUAAGCAGAGUAAUCUGACUUCAACAAUAUUUUUCCUCUAUCAUUGUCCGACGACAAAUGUUUUUGUCGCUAUCAUUGUCCUCCAAGCAAAUUUGUGCUGAUACAUUAUCCCAGUGUCAACACCUGCCUAAGACAAAACUACAGAAUGUUGGUCGAGAUUUGGGCAGAGCGGUCGAGUCACACUGAAAGACUAUGUAGCUCAAAAGUAUAAUGAGCAUCAGUCACGUAGCUUCACAGAGCCAUUGCCAAUUAGCAAGCAUCAUUUCCACUGCACAGCACUACUACAGUCAGGGAGUUGUUGCCGAUUACAAGCUACAGUAAGCAAUCACAGUAGGAGAUGCUGACAUCCAUAGACGCCGUAAAGAACGCCGCAGGUAUUCUUGUAGAAAUACUGGAUCUGGAGCAAGUCCCUUUGGCCGCUGAAGACAUCUCAAACUAAGCAGGGCGUCAGAGGCAGCCUGGUGCCCCUUCCCAGUCCUCUUCGCUCCAAGUUCUGUAGCAACCGCAUCAAGCUUUCCCGGAACUCUCUCCUUGUUGAUACACUUGCCGUACUUUGAGAACGACUUGCAGUCAAAUGAUGAAGGGAAAUACUCUACGACUUGCAACAGGAACUGGAGUCGUGUUUCUGGCAAUGGAUCCUUCGUUAGGAGAUUUAUCAUGAGUUCAAAAUCUUGAUAACCCACAAAGGUAACCCAGGUGACAUUCUUGUUCUGCAGGAGACCGGACUCACGUAACAUGUUCUUGAACUCCGAGGCUGGAAGUCCCUUUGUCGCAUGCUCCUCUAAUAUCAGUGCACUCUCCCUCAGGAAUUUCACUCCACAGUGGUCACCAGAUCUCCUAGUGGGGCCGAACAAGAGAUUUAAUUGGAACAUUGCACCUCCGAGCAAAUUGAACUCCGUAUCGGCAAUUCCGAUCCCAGCCUGCACAAGGUCUCCACCAUGCACAUAGGAUCGCAGCUGCAAAUAGACUAUCCUCCAACAAUUUAUAGUUAUACCGUAUACAUCCAAACUUCUCCAUUGGUUAGAUUUACCUGCAAAUCCAUAUUUGGUCUAUCUGUAAGCAUGAUCUGUCUACGGAUCUAUUAGUAAUUUGACUGAAAGAGAUUUCUCUAAAAAAGGAGUUGUGCUGCUCCUGGAAUGAGUUACGUGCUUUUUAUUGGGAUUGCUGGUCGUGGUGGUUUCCUUUUGGGACAAAGCUAUUCACAUCCCAUCUGAAAUUGACAUACUCAGGUAUUAAAUGUCACUAGAUUCUGCUUCAUGCUUCCAUUUUUCCUUGGGACAAAAAAGGUACAUUGAUGCAGUUUGAUUAAGCAGAGUAAUCUGACUUCAACAAUAUUUUUCCUCUAUCAUUGUCCGACGACAAAUGUUUUUGUCGCUAUCAUUGUCCUCCAAGCAAAUUUGUGCUGAUACAUUAUCCCAGUGUCAACACCUGCCUAAGACAAAACUACAGAAUGUUGGUCGAGAUUUGGGCAGAGCGGUCGAGUCACACUGAAAGACUAUGUAGCUCAAAAGUAUAAUGAGCAUCAGUCACGUAGCUUCACAGAGCCAUUGCCAAUUAGCAAGCAUCAUUUCCACUGCACAGCACUACUACAGUCAGGGAGUUGUUGCCGAUUACAAGCUACAGUAAGCAAUCACAGUAGGAGAUGCUGACAUCCAUAGACGCCGUAAAGAACGCCGCAGGUAUUCUUGUAGAAAUACUGGAUCUGGAGCAAGUCCCUUUGGCCGCUGAAGACAUCUCAAACUAAGCAGGGCGUCAGAGGCAGCCUGGUGCCCCUUCCCAGUCCUCUUCGCUCCAAGUUCUGUAGCAACCGCAUAAAGCUUUCCCGGAACUCUCUCCUUGUUGAUACACUUGCCGUACUUUGAGAACGACUUGCAGUCAAAUGAUGAAGGGAAAUACUCUACGACUUGCAACAGGAACUGGAGUCGUGUUUCUGGCAAUGGAUCCUUCGUUAGGAGAUUUAUAAUGAGUCCAAAAUCUUGAUAACCCAUAAAGGUAACCCAGGUGACAUUCUUGUUCUGCAGGAGACCGGACUCACGUAACAUGUUCUUGAACUCCGAGGCUGGAAGUCCCUUUGUCGCAUGCUCCUCUAAUAUCAGUGCACUCUCCCUCAGGAAUUUCACUCCACAGUGGUCACCAGAUCUCCUAGUGGGGCCGAACAAGAGAUUUAAUUGGAACAUUGCACCUCCGAGCAAAUUGAACUCCGUAUCAGCAAUUCCGAUCCCAGCCUGCACAAGGUCUCCACCAUGCACAUAGGAUCGCAGCUGCAAAUAGACUAUCCUCCAACAAUUUAUAGUUAUA
rnacentral:lncRNA from 1 species